GCGUAUGUGGAUAAUGGAUUGGAACAUUAGCAACGAGCAAUGAUGGAAAAAAGGAAAUGACUAACUAAAAAGGAUUGGUUUUUUUUUAUAUAAAGGUGUCCUCGAGGCAAAACAACAAAGGAGAUGGUGUUUGUGUGGAAGACAAAAUGACGCUUCGGUCACUAAUCGAAAGCGGCACACGUCAAACGAACGUUGGCCGGCACAAACAUGGCGUGCUACACGCAGCCCGCAUAGCUCCCGCCGAGUUUCUGAUGUAGAUGAACUUGCUCCACGUCAGCGAUCAUCGCUUGGCAGAGCAUUUUGUGCCUCCCGAUGCCCCACAUCGCCCACAAAUCGUCUCCCCGGCGACUUCCAGAGACGACGGCAAAGAGGCUGCAUUGCUUCGCAUGGCCGACGCCGGGCACAGGUCAGCGAUUCGUUGAAAUAGUCUCGUAAUGACGACGGCGAAAACGAUGAAUUGGAGAGCGAUUUGGAUCCCGAUAUGUCGGACGAAUAUGUGCCUUCGGACAUCACGGAAAGCAGCUGAGUCCUCGCCAGAGCCGCUGGAACGAGGAGAUUGCCCAACCAGAGGCCAAAAGAUGACUCCUCGCUUUGGUGGUGGAAAGAAAGGUCGUGCAUCUGGACGUGGUGAGAUGAAUCGAUGUGGUGACAAACUGGAUGGAAGCCAAAAAACAUCUUCUCCACAGCUGCACUUUUGUUCAUAGUUCAAUAGUUUUGUUGUGUGCAAAUAAAUUAUUUUGCUACAAAAAA